rnacentral:rRNA from 1 species
UACGUAGGGGGCAAGCGUUGUCCGGAAUCAUUGGGCGUAAAGCGCGUGUAGGCGGCUCGGUAAGUCCGCUCUGAAAGUCCAGGGCUCAACCCUGGGAUGCGGGUGGAUACUGCCGGGCUCGAGUCCGGAAGAGGCGAGUGGAAUUCCCGGUGUAGCGGUGAAAUGCGGCAGAUAUCGGGAGGAACACCAAUGGCGAAGGCAGCUCGCUGGGACGUGACUGACGCU